AUGGGUUGCGCGGCCAUGAAGGAGGAGGAAGGCGGCUGCAGCAGCGAGAAGCGGCGGGCGGAAUGGGCGUCGCUUCAGCCGGACCUCGUCCAGCUCAUCGCCGACUGCAUCCUCUCCACCAGCGGCGUCGAGGAGUACAUGGACAUGAGGGCCGUCUGCCCCAGCUGGCGCUCUGCCUUCUCCAAGCCAUCUCCUCACGCCGCGGUCGCGGAUCUCCGUUUCAGGCCACGGCAGUGGGUCUUGGUUGACCGAGCAGACGACGACCAAGGCCGGCCCCUCUUCCUCAACGUCACCACAGGGCGCUUCCGCCGCCUGCACCGCCCCGUGCUCCGUGACUACAUCUUCGUCGGUGCAUCCGACGGCCUUCUCGUCCUCGGGGACAGGGAGCGCCCGCAUGCCGCUCGUCUCUUCAACCCAUUGACUGGUGACGUGUUUCCCUUUGCGGCGUCCAUACCUCCGGAACCUCGGGUGCACACUGCAAUCGCUGGCUCGGAACCAACGAUUAUCUUCUCGUUCGCACCGUGCCACGGAGAAUACCAAGAUAUCCCAGAUUAUUGUUCUGUUGCCCACAGGCCACGGUGUCACGCUGUUUACUCUGCUAAUCCCACAGGCCAGCUCCGCCCGGUGAAGUUUCAUGAUGCUGCUUUAAGCGACGAAGGCUUGUUCUACCUCAGGAGCAUGGUCACCUAUGCAGGCAAUGUUUACGUGCUCAGUACUGGAGGUAUUUUGUGCAAGAUCGUUCGGACCGGUGGCCACUGGUAUGCGGAGCGGUUACUGGAGAUUGACAUGCACUACACUGGUGGUCUCAUGGAAGCGGUCGGUAAACUGCUGCUUGUUAAAGAGGAAUCUGAAACGAUUCAAGUUUUCAACGUGGAUGUUAAGCGGGAGGUACUUGAACCAAGCGAAAGUAUCGGCAGCAGUGCGCUCUUUCUAAAUCACGGCAACUGCAUUGUUGUUGACGCAGAUAAGCUUCCUUCCAUCGAGCGCAACUGCAUCUACAGCACUUUCAUUGAUAGGAUAUACGUCUCGUAUGACCUCAGUGAUGGCAAGAAAAAAUGCAUCGCCAGCCUCCAUGUGCCGGGAGGCCUCGCUGAUGAUAUCAUUCAGAAGGCCCUUUGA
rnacentral:rRNA from 1 species